rnacentral:rRNA from 1 species
GAUGAACGCUGGCGGCGUGCCUAAUACAUGCAAGUCGAGCGAACGGACGAGGAGCUUGCUUCUCUGACGUUAGCGGCGGACGGGUGAGUAACACGUGGAUAACCUACCUAUAAGACUGGGAUAACUUCGGGAAACCGGAGCUAAUACCGGAUAAUAUUUUGAACCGCAUGGUUCAAAAGUGAAAGACGGUCUUGCUGUCACUUAUAGAUGGAUCCGCGCCGCAUUAGCUAGUUGGUAAGGUAACGGCUUACCAAGGCAACGAUGCGUAGCCGACCUGAGAGGGUGAUCGGCCACACUGGAACUGAGACACGGUCCAGACUCCUACGGGAGGCAGCAGUAGGGAAUCUUCCGCAAUGGGCGAAAGCCUGACGGAGCAACGCCGCGUGAGUGAUGAAGGUCUUCGGAUCGUAAAACUCUGUUAUUAGGGAAGAACAUAUGUGUAAGUAACUGUGCACAUCUUGACGGUACCUAAUCAGAAAGCCACGGCUAACUACGUG